UAGAUUAUUCCAGUAAUGAGAAACCUUUGC
rnacentral:piRNA from 1 species